AUGGCUUUGCUUAAAAUCAUCUUGUGGUUCCCACUCUUUUAUUUGGUGUGGAACUGCUCUAAGUGAAGCUAGAGAGUGUUCCUCUCGCUAUCCCGUGCUUCUCUCAUGGGGCAUGUGGACGUUGGGGAACAAGAUGC